AGUGAACGCUGGCGGCAGGCUUAAUACAUGCAAGUCGAACGGCAGCACAGUGGAGCUUGCUCCAUGGGUGGCGAGUGGCGGACGGGUGAGGAAUACAUGGGAAUCUGCCCAGUCGUGGGGGAUAACGUAGGGAAACUUACGCUAAUACCGCAUGCGCCCUUCGGGGGAAAGCCGGGGACCUUCGGGCCUGGCGCGAUUGGAUGAGCCCAUGUUCGAUUAGCUAGUUGGCGGGGUAAAGGCCCACCAAGGCGACGAUCGAUAGCUGGUCUGAGAGGAUGAUCAGCCACACUGGGACUGAGACACGGCCCAGACUCCUACGGGAGGCAGCAGUAGGGAAUAUUGGACAAUGGGCGCAAGCCUGAUCCAGCCAUGCCGCGUGAGUGAAGAAGGCCCUCGGGUUGUAAAGCUCUUUUGUCCGGGAAGAAAAGCAUCGGGCUAAUACCUCGGUGUUCUGACGGUACCGGAAGAAUAAGCACCGGCUAACUUCGUG
rnacentral:rRNA from 1 species